rnacentral:rRNA from 1 species
ACUCCUACGGGAGGCAGCAGUGGGAAGUAUUGCACAAUGGGCGCAAGCCUGAUGCAGCCAUGCCGCGUGUAUGAAGAAGGCCUUCGGGUUGUAAAGUACUUUCAGCAGUGAAGGAAGGCGGUACGUUAAUAGCGUGCUCGUUUGACGUUAGCUGCAGAAGAAGCACCGGCUAACUCCGUGCCAGCAGCCGCGGUAAUACGGAGGGUGCGAGCGUUAAUCGGAAUUACUGGGCGUAAAGCGCAUGCAGGUGGUUUGUUAAGUCAGAUGUGAAAGCCCGGGGCUCAACCUGCGGAAU